rnacentral:tRNA from 1 species
GUUUAAAUAGUUUAAAAAAAAAAUAUUGAUUUGUGGUGUCAAUGAUAAGAAGUUUUCUUUUUAAACC